rnacentral:rRNA from 1 species
AAAUGAAUAGACGGGGGCCCGCACAAGCGGUGGAGCAUGUGGUUUAAUUCGACGCAACGCGAAGAACCUUACCAGGUCUUGACAUCCCCUGGCCGCGCAAGAGAUUGCGAAUUCAUCUUCGGAUGACAGGGAGACAGGUGGUGCAUGGUUGUCGUCAGCUCGUGUCGUGAGAUGUUGGGUUAAGUCCCGCAACGAGCGCAACCCUUGUUCUUAGUUGCCAGCAAGUAAAGUUGGGCACUCUAAGGAUACUGCCGGUGACAAACCGGAGGAAGGUGGGGAUGACGUCAAAUCAUCAUGCCCUUUAUGACCUGGGCUACACACGUGCUACAAUGGCCUGUACAAAGGGUAGCGAAGCAGUGAUGCGGAGCCAAUCCCAAAAAGCAGGUCUCAGUUCGGAUUGCAGGCUGCAACUCGCCUGUAUGAAGUCGGAAUCGCUAGUAAUCGCGGAUCAGCAUGCCGCGGUGAAUACGUUCCCGGGCCUUGUACACACCGCCCGU